rnacentral:rRNA from 1 species
GUGGGGAAUAUUGGACAAUGGGCGAAAGCCUGAUCCAGCCAUGCCGCGUGUGUGAAGAAGGUCUUCGGAUUGUAAAGCACUUUAAGUUGGGAGGAAGGGCAGUAAGUUAAUACCUUGCUGUUUUGACGUUACCGACAGAAUAAGCACCGGCUAACUUCGUGCCAGCAGCCGCGGUAAUACGAAGGGUGCAAGCGUUAAUCGGAAUUACUGGGCGUAAAGCGCGCGUAGGUGGUUCAGCAAGUUGGAGGUGAAAUCCCCGGGCUCAACCUGGGAACUGCCUCCAAAACUACUGAGCUAGAGUACGGUAGAGGGUAGUGGAAUUUCCUGUGUAGCGGUGAAAUGCGUAGAUAUAGGAAGGAACACCAGUGGCGAAGGCGACUACCUGGACUGAUACUGACACUGAGGUGCGAAAGCGUGGGGAGCAAACAGGAUUAGAAACCCGUGUAGUCC